CUGGUACAAGAAGAACAUAGCCUCACCAAAAGCAUCAGGACAGAGUUACAGCAUCACUAACAUCAGCUCUGAGGACAGAGGAGAAUAUUACUGUGAGGCCCAGAAUGGAAGAGGAUCUAUGAACUCUACAGCUCUGAUGAUCAUUGUAGCAGGGAAACAAACCUCAGUUGUGACUGCAGCUGUAGGAAUCAUAGUGGUUGUUCUGGUUCUCAUCCUCUGUCUCUCUGGACUCAUGUGGUUCAGGAGAUCCACAGGAGGAAGUGAUGCCACAGCAGACACACAGGUGA